UCGAGCGCAGGAAGCCGUCUGAACCCUUCGGGGGGACGACGGUGGAAUGAGCGGCGGACGGGUGAGUAACACGUAAAGAACCUGCCCAUAGGUCUGGGAUAACCACGAGAAAUCGGGGCUAAUACCGGAUGUGUCAUCGGACCGCAUGGUCCGCUGAUGAAAGGCGCUCCGGCGUCGCCCAUGGAUGGCUUUGCGGUGCAUUAGCUAGUUGGUGGGGUAACGGCCCACCAAGGCGACGAUGCAUAGCCGACCUGAGAGGGUGAUCGGCCACACUGGGACUGAGACACGGCCCAGACUCCUACGGGAGGCAGCA
rnacentral:rRNA from 1 species